rnacentral:tRNA from 1 species
GCGGACGUGGUGGAACUGGUAGACACAAGGGACUUAAAAUCCCUCGGAGCGAUCCGUACGGGUUCGAGUCCCGUCGUCCGCACCA